AACCGCAAUUUCCAGUACUCUGGAUCCUCCUUUGACGUCGCCUUUAUUGACAGCAAGUUAAUGUCCGUAGCAUGCCCCAGCUCCAGACCGGCCAUCUUUUCAUCAACCCUUUUUCUGCUAUUCAACGAGAAGCGAGAGCCAUAUCUCUCUUCCUCAUUCUCUUCACUCAGAGAUGUAUAGGAAGAAUCACAAGAAAUAAUUUCCUCAGUAUCCGAGUAAUCAGCCGUACAAAACAUG